UUUAAGUGCAACCAUGUGUUUCCGUGCCCAACUUUAAUCAUCCGUCUUAUUUGAAAUUUUUUAUAAUUAGUAUUUUUAUUGUUAUGAGAUGAUAAAAUAUGAAUAGUACUUUAUGCAUAACUUAUAAUUUUAAUUUUUUAAAAAUAUUUUCAAAUAAGACGAACCAUCAAAGUUGGGCACGGAAAAUUAUGGUUGUACUUAAA
rfam:Oryza nivara chromosome 8, whole genome shotgun sequence.